CUUGCUUUCUUUGCUGGCGACCGGCGCACGGGUGAGUAACACGUAUCCAACCUGCCCUUUACUCGGGGAUAGCCUUUCGAAAGAAAGAUUAAUACCCGAUAGCAUAAUGAUUCCGCAUGGUUUCAUUAUUAAAGGAUUCCGGUAAAGGAUGGGGAUGCGUUCCAUUAGGUUGUUGGUGAGGUAACGGCCCACCAAGCCUUCGAUGGAUAGGGGUUCUGGGAGGAAGGUCCCCCACAUUGGAACUGAGACACGGUCCAA
rnacentral:rRNA from 1 species